ACGCUGCAAUUGUUUUCGUUCCAGCACACGAUCUCAGAUCAGGUCACUUGUUUUGCGCAUGACGUGCACUCGCGCUAGGUAGUUGUAGAAUCGACUAGUCACGACUCGCUAGUGCAGAUGCGCGAGUGUGCGAAUGAGUGCAACGGGACCACCCUUCUCGAAUAGUUACCCAUGCAGUAUUCGUCUGACCUCUUACAGCUCUGGUCGUUUGACCACACACCAACCAGCCGGUUUCCAGCGACGACGUCAACACCACCGAUCUACUGUCUACUACGAUGUCAUCGCCAGUGCCAACAACACCACCAGAGUAUACGCUACCAACAGCAAACGCGGUUCCUUCUCAACACUGUUUGUGUGGAUUGCUUCCACCUCGAAAAUAACAGCCAGAACAACCUGCGAGAAUCUUCUGUAUUCAAGUAACCAGUCACAGCAUCAACACUCAACUUCACACACAACAUGUGACACCUCAGCUCUGCUAUUUGGCCAUGACUUCUUGUGUACGGACAUUCUACCUACUGUGUAACUCUUCUAUGAACUGGUGUUUCUCUAUCUUUGUGUUCAGGACUCUUAUAGUCUGUUACAGACUCUUAUUCCAUGUACUGUAUUUCUCAUUCACAUACACACACAUAUUAUUGUAUACACACUCUUGUACAUGAAGGUCUGUCUUAUGUAUUAUAUUACUUAUACUGCCGCAUGCAUGCACACACAGACACACAGUUCACUAUGCUAAUAAACUUACUCUUUAUAUAUAUCUAACGGUUGUGUCUCUGUCUCUCACUUUCCUUGCUGGCACUUGCUCGCAUUUCACAUGCGAGCCCUCUUAUGUCAUAUUAUAUGUUUUGUGUCGACCGUGCGACACGUUAAAAGGAGCCUGCUUCCAUACGUUGCCAUUCUCCUUGGUUCGCACGGUUGUUCUCUACAAUAUCAUAUGUUUUUAUAUAUUUUAUAUUUUAUUUUAAUUGUACAUUCUUUAUGUUUCCCCAAUGUAAUUGCAUGUCCCUCUUUGUCGGCCCCUCGUGGGUAAUAAAGAAAUAUAUGCUGAAUA
rnacentral:lncRNA from 1 species